rnacentral:tRNA from 4 species
GCCGCCUUAGCUCAGUUGGUAGAGCGCCACUUUUGUAAAGUGGAUGUCCCCGGUUCAAAUCCGGGAGGCGGCUCCA